AGGGGGUCCGCUCUGAACCUCGUGACUCAACAGAAGGGCUCUCCUUAUUGUCUUCCCUGAACUGAUCCCCAAAUAAGCAAGGCCUGUAGUAUAUGUUUGGUGAUGUAUGGUCAGCAUAUUGUACCAAUUCUUGUUGCAAGCAUGUCAAUUCGUGUUCUGAGUGAAUAAAAGUUGAGUUUUGUGAGUUAAAGUA